rnacentral:rRNA from 1 species
AACGUAGGAGACAAACGUUAUCCGGAGUUACUGGGCGUAAAGGGCGUGUAGGCGGUCGACUAAGUCUGGCGUGAAAGCUCGCGGCUAAACCGCGAGAGGUCGUUGGAUACUGGUUGACUAGAGGACGGUAGAGGCGUGUGGAAUUCCGGGUGUAGUGGUGAAAUGCGUAGAGAUCCGGAGGAACACCAGCGGCGAAGGCGACACGCUGGGUCGUACCCGACGCUAAAACGCGACAGCAUGGGGAGCGAACGGG